UUGAUCCUGCUGGAGGGUACUGCUAUCGGAGUUUGACUAAGCCAUGCAAGUCUAACCCUAGGACUUCCUGGGGUGGCAAAAUGCUGAGUAACACGUAGUCAAUCUACCCUGUGGCCGGGGAUAACCUUGAGAAAUUGAGGACAAUACCCGAUAUUCCACCUAUGCUGGAAUGCUUGGAGGUUUAAACGGGCUGUGAAUUGGAACAGUUCCGCCAUAGGACGAGACUGCGGGGGAUUAUGGUUGUUGGUAGGGUAAUGGCCUACCAAGCCGAUAAUCUCUAGGGGCCAUGAGAGUGGUGGCCCCCAGAAGGGCACUGAGACAAGGGCCCUAGCCCUACGGGGUGCAGCAGGCGCGAAACCUCUACAAUGCUGGAAACAGUGAUAGGGGAACUCCGAGUGGCGUCGGCUAAGCCGGCGUCUUUUGCCAAGUGUAAAUAGCUUGGAGAAUAAGGGUGUGGGCAAGACUGGUGGCAGCCGCCGCGGUAACACCAGCGCCUCGAGUGGUACCCACGAAUACUGGGCCUAGAGCGUUCGUAGCCGGCCAGAUAAGUCUUCUGUGAAAUAGUGUGGCUUAACCUCACUGCGCGCAGGAGAUACUGUUUGGCUUGGGAACGGGGGAGGUCAGGAGUACACCCGGGGUAGGGGUAAAAUCC
rnacentral:rRNA from 1 species